rnacentral:rRNA from 1 species
CGGCACCUCAAGUGGUCAGGAUGAUUAUUGGGCCUAAAGCAUCCGUAGCCGGCUCUGUAAGUUUUCGGUUAAAUCUGUAUGCUCAACAUACAGGCUGCCGGGAAUACUGCAGAGCUAGGGAGUGGGAGAGGUAGACGGUACUCGGUAGGAAGGGGUAAAAUCCUUUGAUCUAUUGAUGACCACCUGUGGCGAAGGCGGUCUACCAGAACACGUCCGACGGUGAGGGAUGAAAGCUGGGGGAGCAAACCGGAUUAGAGACCCGAGUAGUCC